rnacentral:rRNA from 2 species
UACGUAGGGUGCAAGCGUUAAUCGGAAUUACUGGGCGUAAAGCGUGCGCAGGCGGUUAUGUAAGACAGUUGUGAAAUCCCCGGGCUCAACCUGGGAACUGCAUCUGUGACUGCAUAGCUAGAGUACGGUAGAGGGGGAUGGAAUUCCGCGUGUAGCAGUGAAAUGCGUAGAUAUGCGGAGGAACACCGAUGGCGAAGGCAAUCCCCUGGACCUGUACUGACGCUCAUGCACGAAAGCGUGGGGAGCAAACAGG